rnacentral:rRNA from 1 species
AGCGAACGUUUGCGGCGGGCCUAACACAUGCAAGUCGAACGCACUAGCAAUAGUGAGUGGCGCACGGGUGCGUAACACGUGGGUAAUCAACCCUUCAGCUUGGGAUAACGACUUGAAAGGGUCGCUAAUACCGGAUACGGCGAGAGAGGCUUCGGCAUUUCUCGAGAAAGCCUCGCAAGGGGCACUGAAGGACGAGCCUGCGGCCCAUCAGCUAGUUGGUGAGGUAAGAGCUCACCAAGGCGAAGACGGGUAGCUGGUCUGAGAGGAUGAUCAGCCACACUGGAACUGAGACACGGUCCAGACUCCUACGGGAGGCAGCAGUGGGGAAUAUUGCGCAAUGGGCGAAAGCCUGACGCAGCCACGCCGCGUGAGCGAUGAAGGCCUUCGGGUCGUAAAGCUCUGUGGGGAGAGACGAAGAAAGACCCGUGAAGAGCGGGCCGUUGACGGUAGUCUCCUUAGCAAGCACCGGCUAACUCCGUGCCAGCAGCCG